AUGAAUUAUUCACUCGUUAUUGAACCAUUUGAUGUUUGGGGCUUUGAUUAUAUGGGACCGUUUCCUUCCUCUAACGGGAAUACACAUAUUUUAGUUGCUGUUGAUUACGUUACUAAGUGGGUAGAAGCUAUUCAAACUAGUAGUGCUGAUCAUAACACCUCUAUUAAGAUGCUUAAAGAAGUUAUUUUUUCGAGGUUUGGAGUCCCUAGAUAUUUAAUGGCUGAUGGUGGUUCACAUUUUAUUCAUGGUUUUUUUCGUAAAAUGCUUGCUAAGUAUGAUGUUAAUCAUAGAAUUGCAUCUCCAUAUCACCCGUAG
rnacentral:rRNA from 1 species